rnacentral:rRNA from 1 species
AUUGAACGCUGGCGGCAGGCCUAACACAUGCAAGUCGAGCGGAUGAAGGGAGCUUGCUCCUGGAUUCAGCGGCGGACGGGUGAGUAAUGCCUAGGAAUCUGCCUGGUAGUGGGGGAUAACGUCCGGAAACGGGCGCUAAUACCGCAUACGUCCUGAGGGAGAAAGUGGGGGAUCUUCGGACCUCACGCUAUCAGAUGAGCCUAGGUCGGAUUAGCUAGUUGGUGGGGUAAAGGCCUACCAAGGCGACGAUCCGUAACUGGUCUGAGAGGAUGAUCAGUCACACUGGAACUGGGACACGGUCCAGACUCCUACGGGAGGCAGCAGUGGGGAAUAUUGGACCAUGGGCGAAAGCCUGAUCCAGCCAUGCCGCGUGUGUGAAGAAGGUCUUCGGAUUGUAAAGCACUUUAAGUUGGGAGGAAGGGCAGUAAGUUAAUACCUUGCUGUUUUGACGUUACCAACAGAAUAAGCACCGGCUAACUUCGUG